AUGAAGGUUAUCGUAUUGAUGUUAGUUUCAGCCCUGCCUUUGUUGUCGGGGCUCCGGGCGGCCGUGACCCUGCUGGAGUGCGGGGGGGACCUCCAGCCCCCCGGGGGGUCCCUGACGUUGCUGUGCCGAGGGUCCGGGUUCAGUUUUGGCGGAUUUGGGAUGGGCUGGAUGCGCCAGAGACCCGGGCAGGGGCUGGAAUUCGUCGCAGGGUUCAACACUGGUGGAGGCAUCGGCUACGCGGAUUCAGUCAGGGGCCGGGUCACGAUCUCCAGGGACAACGGGCAGAGCUCGGUGACGCUGACCAUGAACAACCUCAAGGACGAGGAUUCCGGAUCCUAUUUCUGUGCCAAAGCUGCUGCUGAUGCUCGGGGCCCACUCGGGGCCAUUUUGGCUCCUGGGCUGUCCCUGGCCGUGCUGACCCUGCCCCUGACCGAUGGAACCUUCCAGCUCCCAGAGAGGAUUCCAGCCCAGCCCCGAGGAGCAGCCCCAGACACCGCGGCCGUGAGGGAGCAGUGA